rnacentral:rRNA from 1 species
GAUGAACGCUAGCGGCAGGCCUAACACAUGCAAGUCGAGGGGUAGAAGGAGCUUGCUCCUUUGAGACCGGCGCACGGGUGCGUAACGCGUAUGCAAUCUACCUUGUACAGGGGAAUAGCCCAGAGAAAUUUGGAUUAAUGCCCCAUAGUAUAUAACCUUCGCAUGUUGGUUAUAUUAAAGUUCCAACGGUACAAGAUGAGCAUGCGUCCCAUUAGUUAGUUGGUAAGGUAACGGCUUACCAAGACGAUGAUGGGUAGGGGUCCUGAGAGGGGGAUCCCCCACACUGGUACUGAGACACGGACCAGACUCCUACGGGAGGCAGCAGUGAGGAAUAUUGGUCAAUGGUAGCAAGACUGAACCAGCCAUGCCGCGUGCAGGAAGACGGUCCUAUGGAUUGUAAACUGCUUUUAUACAGGAAGAAACCCUCCCACGUGUGGGAGCUUGACGGUACUGGAGGAAUAAGGAUCGGCUAACUCCGUG